AAUAUUGGUCAAUGGAGGAAACUCUGAACCAGCCACGCCGCGUGCAGGAAGAAGGUCUUAUGGGUUGGAAACUGGUUUUGUAUAGGGAAGAAAAUUCUUACGAGAUAAGAAUCGUCUGUACCAUAUAAUGCUCGCGGGCUAGACAUAC
rnacentral:rRNA from 1 species